UCUCAUUUUCUUUUCUAUAUUAUUGUCAAGUUCCGACUGACUUAUGCAUCGAAGGAUCCCUUCUCGGAGCAACUCCGACGAAAAUGGACUUCUUAGUUUUCUCUUUGGUAUUUUGAUUCUCAAACAGCGGCCAACUUCAAUCAUACCAGUAUUCGGUCAGAGUCUUGCAACAACAGAAUUAUUGACACCGAUGAAGGUGGCACUCGAAGCAGUCAUUGUGCC
rnacentral:lncRNA from 1 species